rnacentral:lncRNA from 1 species
UCUGCCUCAGCCUCCCCAGGAGUUGGGAUUACAGGCGCCUGCCACCACGCCCGGCUAAUUUUUUUUUUAUCACAAUUGCAAUACAUCUAACAGUCUUCUUUGUUUUAGUUACUAUACUUUUUCUUACCAUCAUGAAGAAAAGAUAUCACAGAAAAUGAUGUUAAAGACAGGCCUAACAUACAUUUUCUGAGCUUUCUGGUGAAAGAUUAUGUUUUCAAAAAACUUCUCCAAG